GUGAACGCUGGCGGUAGGCCUAACACAUGCAAGUCGAACGGCAGCACAGGAGAACUUGCUCUCUGGGUGGCGAGUGGCGGACGGGUGAGGAAUACAUCGGAAUCUACUUUUUCGUGGGGGAUAACGUGGGGAAACUUACGCUAAUACCGCAUACGACCUACGGGUGAAAGCAGGGGACCUUCGGGCCUUGCGCGGAUGAAUGAGCCGAUGUCGGAUUAGCUAGUUGGCGGGGUAAAGGCCCACCAAGGCGACGAUCCGUAGCUGGUCUGAGAGGAUGAUCAGCCACACUGGAACUGAGACACGGUCCAGACUCCUACGGGAGGCAGCAGUGGGGAAUAUUGGACAAUGGGCGCAAGCCUGAUCCAGCCAUACCGCGUGGGUGAAGAAGGCCUUCGGGUUGUAAAGCCCUUUUGUUGGGAAAGAAAAGCAGCAGGUUAAUACCCCGCUGUUCUGACGGUACCCAAAGAAUAAGCACCGGCUAACUUCGUGCCAGCCGCCGCAGUAACAC
rnacentral:rRNA from 1 species